CUGCGCAAGGAUCAUUGUCG
rnacentral:rRNA from 1 species